rnacentral:rRNA from 1 species
AUACGAAGGGCCCGAGCGUUGUGCGGAUUCACUGGGCUUAAAGGGCACGUAGGCGGCGAUUCAGGUCGGCUGUGAAAGACUUCGGCUCAACCGAGGGAACGCAGCCGAAACCGGAUUGCUAGAGCAUGGUAGGGGAAGGUGGAAUUCCAGGUGGAGCGGUGAAAUGCGUAGAUAUCUGGAGGAACACCAGAGGCGAAGGCGGCCUUCUGGACCAUUGCUGACGCUGAGGUGCGAAAGCUAGGGGAGCAAACAGGAUUAGAUACCCCAGUAGUCC